GCCGGGGUGGCGGAAUGGCAGACGCGGCGGACUUAAAAUCCGCUUCCCCAAAAAGGAGUGUGGGUUCGAGUCCCUCCCCCGGCACCA
rnacentral:tRNA from 1 species